AAGUCGUAACAAGGUUUCCGUAGGUGAACCUGCGGAAGGAUCAUUAUAGAGAUUGGUUGGGUAACACCUCCCAAACCUCCCACCCUUUGUUUACAUUACCUUUGUUGCUUUGGCAGGCCCGUCUCUGGACCGCCGGCUUCGGCUGGCCAGUGCCUGCCAGAGGACCUAAAACUCUGUUUAAUUGUAUUGUCUGAGUACUAUAUAAUAGUUAAAACUUUCAACAACGGAUCUCUUGGUUCUG
rnacentral:misc_RNA from 1 species